rnacentral:misc_RNA from 1 species
GAAAUGCGAUAAGUAAUGUGAAUUGCAGAAUUCAGUGAAUCAUCGAAUCUUUGAACGCACAUUGCGCCCGCCAGUAUUCUGGCGGGCAUGCCUGUCCGAGCGUCAUUUCAACCAUCAAGCCCCCGGGCUUGUGUUGGGGACCUGCGGCUGCCCGCAGGCCCUGAAAACCAGUGGCGGGCUCGCUGUCACACCGAGCGUAGUAGCAAUCACCUCGCUCAGGGCGUGCUGCGGGUUCCGGCCGUUAAACAGCCUAACAAAACCCAAGGUUGACCUCGGAUCAGGUAGGAAGACCCGCUGAACUUAAGC